rnacentral:rRNA from 2 species
AUACCGGCGGCUCGAGUGGUGACCACUUUUAUUGGGCUUAAAGCGUUCGUAGCUGGACUCUUAAGUCUCUUGGGAAAUCCCGCGGCUCAACCGUGGGGCGUUUAAGAGAUACUGGGAGUCUAGGAACCGGGAGAGGUAAGAGGUACUUCGGGGGUAGAAGUGAAAUUCUGUAAUCCUCGAGGUACCACCGAUGGCGAAGGCAUCUUACCAGAACGGCUUCGACAGUGAGGAACGAAAGCUGGGGGAGCGAACGGUAUUAGAUACCCCGGUAGUCUCAGCCGUAAACGAUGCGCGUUAGGUGUACUGGUGACCACGAGUCGUCGAGGUGCCGAAGGGAAACCGUGAAACGUGCCGCCUGGGAAGUACGGUCGCAAGGCUGAA